AACGAACGCUGGCGGCAGGCUUAACACAUGCAAGUCGAGCGCCCCGCAAGGGGAGCGGCAGACGGGUGAGUAACGCGUGGGAAUCUACCCAUCUCUGCGGAAUAACGCAUGGAAACGUGUGCUAAUACCGUAUACGUCCUUCGGGAGAAAGAUUUAUCGGAGGAUGGAUGAGCCCGCGUUGGAUUAGCUAGUUGGUGGGGUAAAGGCCUACCAAGGCGACGAUCCAUAGCUGGUCUGAGAGGAUGAUCAGCCACACUGGUACUGAGACACGGCCCAGACUCCUACGGGAGGCAGCAGUGGGGAAUAUUGGACAAUGGGCGCAAGCCUGAUCCAGCCAUGCCGCGUGAGUGAUGAAGGCCCUAGGGUUGUAAAGCUCUUUCACCGGUGAAGAUAAUGACGGUAACCGGAGAAGAAGCCCCGGCUAACUUCGUGCCAGCCGCCGCCGUAAUAC
rnacentral:rRNA from 1 species